CNUGCAGUCGANCGAUGAAGCCCUUCGGGNUGGAUUAGUGGCGAACGGGUGAGUANCACGUGGGCAAUCUGCCCUUCACUCUGGGACAAGCCCUGGAAACGGGGUCUAAUACCGGAUAACACCUGCCCGGGCAUCUGGGUGGGUUAAAAGCUCCGGCGGUGAAGGAUGAGCCCGCGGCCUAUCAGCUUGUUGGUGAGGUAGUGGCUCACCAAGGCGACGACGGGUAGCCGGCCUGAGAGGGCGACCGGCCACACUGGGACUGAGACACGGCCCAGACUCNUACGGGAGGCAGCAGUGGGGAAUAUUGCACAAUGGGCGAAAGCCUGAUGCAGCGACGCCGCGUGAGGGAUGACGGCCUUCGGGUUGUAAACCUCUUUCAGCAGGGAAGAAGCGAAAGUGACGGUACCUGCAGAAGAAGCGCCGGCUAACUACGUGCCAGCAGCCGCGGUAAUACGUAGGGCGCAAGCGUUGUCCGGAAUUAUUGGGCGUAAAGAGCUCGUAGGCGGCUUGUCACGUCGGGUGUGAAAGCCCGGGGCUUAACCCCGGGUCUGCAUUCGAUACGGGCUAGCUAGAGUGUGGUAGGGGAGAUCGGAAUUCCUGGUGUAGCGGUGAAAUGCGCAGAUAUCAGGAGGAACACCGGUGGCGAAGGCGGAUCUCUGGGCCAUUACUGACGCUGAGGAGCGAAAGCGUGGGGAGCGAACAGGAUUAGAUACCCUGGUAGUCCACGCCGUAANCGGUGGGAACUAGGUGUUGGCGACAUUCCACGUCGUCGGUGCCGCAGCUAACGCAUUAAGUUCCCCGCCUGGGGAGUACGGCCGCAAGGCUAAANCUCAAAGGAAUUGACGGGGGGCCCGCACAAGCAGCGGAGCAUGUGGCUUAAUUCGACGCAACGCGANNAACCUUACCAAGGCUUGACAUACACCNNAAACGGCCNGANAUGGUCNCCCCCNUUG
rnacentral:rRNA from 1 species